AGCACUUGUGUGUGUUUUUAACUUGUGAACAAAGACAGGUGCAAAAGUAAAUGCUCUUUUGCAACCCAGAACUCAUUGUACAGUAUGAGUUUUGUUACAUAUUAGAAGGAAUAUG
rnacentral:snoRNA from 1 species